rnacentral:rRNA from 1 species
CUUAGUACGGCGAGUGAGCGGCAAAAGCUCAAAUUUGAAAUCUGGUACCUUCGGUGCCCGAGUUGUAAUUUGGAGAGGGCAACUUUGGGGCCGUUCCUUGUCUAUGUUCCUUGGAACAGGACGUCAUAGAGGGUGAGAAUCCCGUGUGGCGAGGAGUGCGGUUCUUUGUAAAGUGCCUUCGAAGAGUCGAGUUGUUUGGGAAUGCAGCUCUAAGUGGGUGGUAAAUUCCAUCUAAAGCUAAAUAUUGGCGAGAGACCGAUAGCGAACAAGUACAGUGAUGGAAAGAUGAAAAGAACUUUGAAAAGAGAGUGAAAAAGUACGUGAAAUUGUUGAAAGGGAAGGGCAUUUGAUCAGACAUGGUGUUUUGUGCCCUCUGCUCCUUGUGGGUAGGGGAAUCUCGCAUUUCACUGGGCCAGCAUCAGUUUUGGUGGCAGGAUAAAUCCAUAGGAAUGUAGCUUGCCUCGGUAAGUAUUAUAGCCUGUGGGAAUACUGCCAGCUGGGACUGAGGACUGCGACGUAAGUCAAGGAUGCUGGCAUAAUGGUUAUAUGCCGCCCGUCUUGAAACACGGACCUUU